GUGGAUGCAUUUGUCCACCUAGGAAUAGACACACGCUGCACAUUUCCUGCAUGCUGGGCUCUGUAAGGAGGAAGGGAGAGGCCCCUGCUUGGAGAAGCUUUCCAUCCAACAGAUGUGGAUGCUACCUAUGCCACCAGUGUCAAACAUAACUUCAGGAUCACAGAAGAGGCCGAGAGUGCUAAAAGGUCACGCUGGAAUGAAGCAUAUGAGGUAAUAUUAAGAGAAGUAGCGAGAGUCGGUGCUAGGGUCUGAAUGUCUGUGUCUCUCCCGAAAUUCAGACAUUGAAACCUAAUCCUCAAGGUGAUGGUAUUAGGAAGUGGGGAAUUUGGGAGGUGAUUAAGUCAUGAGGGCAGGGGUCUUGUGAAUGGGAUGAGCAUCCUUAUAAAAGAGACCCCAGAGAGCUGCCUGGUCCCUUCCACCAGGUGAGAACAUAGCAAGAAGCUACCAUCUGUGCACCAGGAAAUGGGCCCUCACAAGACAUCAAAUCUGCCAGCCACCUCAAUGGUGGGCUUUCCAGCCUCCAGAACUGUGAGAAAUAAAUUUCUGUUUUUAUAA
rnacentral:lncRNA from 1 species